GCAGGACACAUUGAACAUCGACAUCUUGAACGCAUAUUGCGGCCUAGGGUCACUCCCUUGGCCACGCCUGUCUCAGGGUCGGUGAAACAAACUUCGCAAGCCAAUUGCUCUGUAUUGGGGCUUGCGCAUUGGGCUGUCGAAGUCCCCCCUCAACGGGGACUCCGUCGCCUCAAGUUCAGACCCGAUUGCUUCGGCACGUCGCGUCUUGCGGUCUCGACCACAUAUGACGUAGCUCGCUGUAUCUGAUAUAUAAAAAAAAAAGCACUACGCCGGUCGUCCGAUUGCGAGUCGUGUCGCCGAAAGCGAUCGAAAGAGAAAGACGUUAGAAAACUCUCACCUCCGACCUGAGAUCAGACGAGACAACCCCCUGAAUUUAAGCAUAUCACUAAGGGGAGGAAAAGAAACUAACUAGGAUUCCCUCAGUAACGGCGAGUGAAGCGGGAAAAGCCCAGCACCGAAUCCCUCGGCCUUGCGCCGCUGGGACCUGUGGUGUUUAGGACGCCUCACUGCGGUGGGGUACGGGUGCCCAAGUCCUUCUGAUCGGGGCCUCUCCCAUAGCGGGUGUCAGGCCUUUACGGGCACUCGUCCUUCUGCUAAGAACGUCCUUGG
rnacentral:rRNA from 1 species